rnacentral:rRNA from 1 species
UACGAAGGGGGCUAGCGUUGCUCGGAAUUACUGGGCGUAAAGGGCGCGUAGGCGGCGCUGCAAGUCAGGCGUGAAAUUCCUGGGCUUAACCUGGGGGCUGCGCUUGAGACUGUGGUGCUAGAGGACGGAAGAGGGUCGUGGAAUUCCCAGUGUAGAGGUGAAAUUCGUAGAUAUUGGGAAGAACACCGGUGGCGAAGGCGGCCUGCCUGGGCAGUGGCUGACACUGAGGCGCGACACGUGGGGAGCAAACAGG